CACACUGCCCUCUGUUGACCGUUGGUUAAUACUAUGGAGAAAGAAAGUUUAUGGAAAGCCAUAAUGAUACACACUCAGCCUCAUUAUCUGCCUCCAUCCCAAACAACUGAUAUGAGUCACCAGUCGCCUCACGGAGGAACCAUCUGAUCACUUCUAACCUCCUCACACACAGGUUUUCUGCUUAAACUUUCUGCAUUCACUCUGCUACUGAGACCAAGAAUCCAUGGAAGAAAAUAAAAGAGAAAGAAACAAUUGUUAGAAUGUUAAUGUCAGACUUCAGCGUGUAAUUGCCUUGGCAUUUAAAUAGGAAGGGAUCCUCUGGAAUUACUGAAAUGUUCCUGGUGCCAUUCUCUAGGAACACAGCAACUUUUAAAAUGAAAUAAUGGCACCAAGAAGACCACCUAAACAAGAGCAAUUCAAGCAACAAUUAAAUUCAAGUUUAUCUGUAUAGCACUUUAUACGAUACAAAUUGUUGAAAAGCAACUUUACAGAAAAUUACGUUUUUACAAUAUUUGUAGUAUUAUCAACAGUUAACAUAUAUUUGUAGAUGAGUGAUAUAAUUAAAGAUUAAUUAUAUUCUAGUCUUUUUAGACAAACGUGGAAACUGUGGGAGUCUGCACUGUGGCUGUUCCAGAACAGAACAAGACUUGCUUGACAAAUGUUUGACACUUUUGAAAAACGCCUUUGGCCAAUGUGAUUUGUUUUAACUUGCUAAGCAUCUAUACAAAUUAAUUUACCAUUGUCAUUUUGCUUAUGAAAAGGACAUAUAACAAGGACUAUAUUCAGUUACUACAGAGCACAACAUAAUUUUCCUUCCACAAAGGAAACUUACAAACAUCUGUUGGGUGUACAAUAUAACCAAAGCCACAUGUGCAAGGAAAACAAGGCUUCCUUUUUACUAGAUGCUAAGCAGGACAUACAGGAAGACAAAAAUCAAUUGGCUUAAAUGCAUCUAUUGAUUUUUCAGUGCAGUGGUAUUGACACAUGCUUAAUGCUCGAUAUUGUUUGCAGAGACUGAUUCCUUGCACUGUGGAUAGAGUCGUGUUUAAAUAAACCAAAUGUUUAUGGUGGUCACUGUUAAACACUACAACUGUAAUGUCACAUUAAUGGAUAACUUGAACAUGCUUUAAAGGCAGAGCUAUGCACUGCAAAUGAAGGUUGCUUUUAAAAACCUUGUUAUUUUUAAACAGGGCCUUCAAACUUUAUGCUGAUUUUAACCCUUUAAAAAAAGAAGCUAAGUUAAGUUACCAUAAUUCAUAUCCAAAUGUGUGUGUUAAGUAUUUUACUGUUACAACUUGAUGCCAUGCUACACUGCAAAAGAAGAUGUUCUGGAACUGAUAUUUUUACCACUGUGCCUUUGAUGUCGCACGAGCUGAUCCACAG